rnacentral:rRNA from 1 species
GCGGUCUAAAAUUAAACCUCUGCUGGAUGAUUGGGCUCGUUUUGCGCAGCCUAGUGGGAGGCGUUGAGAUCGUUCUCCGGGAACAUUGGAGCCGUCAUUGAGAGACCACUCUUAACAAGCUAGAUUUCUAACUGUGAUUCCUUGAAUCGGGACACAACACUGUUUCGGGUGGGCAUUUAUAUGGGGGGACUACCCCCCAAAAAGGAAACGGAGGCGCGCAAGGUUCCCCUCAUACGAAACGGAAAUUAAUCGUAAAGGGUAAGGGCAAAAGGGGGUUUAACUGCAAAACCAACAAUUCAAGCAGGACCAAAAUCUGGCCUUAUUGAUCCAGCGGUCCCGUGGGAAAGGGCCGCCCCUCACCGAAAAAAAUUUCCUCUGGGAAUAACGGGAAAAA